UGCCUUAUGUAAAAUUAUAUAAGGUAAAUUCUGCCCAGUGAUUCUAUAUUAAACGGCCGCGGUAUCUUGACCGUGCAAAGGUAGCAUAAUCAUUUGCCUCUUAAUUAGAGGCUAGUAUGAAUGAAUAAACAAAGAACUCCUCUCUUAUACUUAAUUGUAAAAACUUAUAUUUAGGUGAAGAAGCCUAAAUAAAAAAAAAAGACAAGAAGACCCUAUCAAGCUUUAAUUUAAUUAUUAAUAUUAAAUAAUAUAAAAUUUUUAUUGGGGCAAUAGAAAAUAAAAGUAAUCAUUUUCAUUACUAAAGAAUUAUAAAUCUAAUUAAUUAACUUAAAAAUAUCAAAAAGAAAGCUACUGUAGGGAUAACAGGCUAAUAUUUUUCAAGAGCUCUUAUCAACAAAAAUGCUUGGCACCUCGAUGUUGGCUUAAGAAACCUUAAUUGUGCAGAAGCAAUUAAAGGGGGUUUGUUCAACCCUUAAAUUCUU
rnacentral:rRNA from 1 species